AGAGUUUGAUCAUGGCUCAGGAUGGACGCUAGCGGCAGGCCUAAUACAUGCAAGACGAACGGUAAGUUGAGUAGCAAUACUUAGCCAAGAGUGUCGUACGGGUGCGUAACACGUAUGCAACCUACCCUAUACAGGAGGAUAGCCUAGGGAAACCUGGAUUAACCCUUCAUAGUAUUAUUGGAUGGCAUCAUUUGAUAAUUAAAACUGAGGUGGUAUAGGAUGGGCAUGCGUCUGAUUAGUUAGUUGGCGGGGUAAUGGCCCACCAAGACGAUGAUCAGUAGGGGUUCUGAGAGGAAGAUCCCCCACACUGGCACUGAGAUACGGGCCAGACUCCUACGGGAGGCAGCAGUAGGGAAUAUUGGUCAAUGGAUGCAAGUCUGAACCAGCCAUGCCGCGUGCAGGAAGAAGGCCUUCUGGGUUGUAAACUGCUUUUGCCAGGGGAUAAAAUUUCCAUGCGUGGAAAACUGAAGGUACCUGGUGAAUAAGCCACGGCUAACUACGUG
rnacentral:rRNA from 1 species